ACCUUACUGAUAUCCUCGGCUAACAAAACUCACAAUCGAGAACAGGUCAAACACGUCGCAAGUGCCAAGAAUCUCACAUCAACAAACUCAUACAUCGAUUUCCGGUAACAAACCCUAAAAAGCCAAACACUACUCAAACGUCCACCUUCCUUUACUACGCGGUCUAUUUAAACAGACGAGCAAACCUCGUCUGGGGCAAGUGAAAAACAGUGAUCAUAAGCUACUAGGAAAAACGACUUCAUAGCACCAAACCCUACAAAUUCCUUAUUUUUACUUUUGCUUGUUGAAGUUUAUAUUACCGAGCACUAACUUGAGUGUCGGAGUCCUUUUUGCAGGUUCCACGCCGAGGUCUUCAGUUCCGAGGAGAAUACUUCCGAGCCCCUGACGGAGCUUGUAGCCGAUCACACUUCGAAAGCUUUAUCUCGCAAGGAACAAGUUCAAUAAGCAACCCUCUCUCUACCUUUAAGUUCAAAUAUAAAAAAUUAGAUAUUUUUAUUUAUUUAAUUUAAUAUUAUUUUAUAUUUUACUAUUUAUUUAAUUUAAUUUUUUAUAUGAUAAAAAAUAAUAGAAUAUUCAAUAAGUAUUAAUAUUAUUGUAUUUGUAUAAAUUGAUACAAAAAAAUUUAAUAAAUAUUAUAAAUUUUAAUAUUUAUCCUUCUAACUUCUUUUUUACAUAUUCUACAUGAUAUAUAUUCAAAUUUUUAUAUAAAAUAAUAAUAAAAAAAAUCAAAGAAUUGAUGCAUUUUUUAAGAGGAAGCCUAAUAUUUAAGAAGGAGAACAUAUAAUUUUUACAAUAUCAAUACCUAUAGAUAGUUCUUAUACUUUAAUGAAUCACGAAAAAAGUGAGAUACAAC
rnacentral:lncRNA from 1 species